GGGCCAGACUCCUACGGGAGGCAGCAGUGGGGAAUAUUGCACAAUGGGGGAAACCCUGAUGCAGCGACGCCGCGUGAGUGAAGAAGUAUUUCGGUAUGUAAAGCUCUAUCAGCAGGGAAGAAAAAAGACGGUACCUGACUAAGAAGCCCCGGCUAACUACGUGCCAGCAGCCGCGGUAAUACGUAGGGGGCAAGCGUUAUCCGGAUUUACUGGGUGUAAAGGGAGCGUAGACGGAGAAGCAAGUCUGAAGUGAAAGCCCGUGGCUUAACCACGGGACUGCUUUGGAAACUGUGCAGCUCGAGUGCAGGAGAGGUAAGCGGAAUUCCUAGUGUAGCGGUGAAAUGCGUAGAUAUUAGGAGGAACACCAGUAGCGAAGGCGGCUUACUGGACUGUAACUGACGUUGAGGCUCGAAAGCGUGGGGAGCAAACAGGAUUAGAUACCCUAGUA
rnacentral:rRNA from 1 species